AUAUUGGACAAUGGGGGCAACUCUGAUGCAGCCACCACGCGUGUGCGAUGAAGGCCUCCCGGUUGUAGAGCACUUUCGGCAGUGAAGAAAAGGCACGGCCUAAUAUCCUGUGUCGCUGACUGUACCUGCAAAAUAAGCACCGGCUAACUACGUGCCCGCAGCCGCGGUAAUACGUAGGGUGCACGCGUUAAUCGGAAUUACUGGGCGUAAAGCGUGCGUCGGCGGUUUGGCAAGAAAGGUGUGAAAUCCCAGAGCUUAACUUUGGAACUGCACUUUUAACUGCCAGGCUAGAGUAUGUCAGAGGGGGGUAGAAUUCCGCGUGUAGCAGUGAAAUGCGUAGAGAUGCGGAGGAAUACCGAUGGCGAAGGCAGCCCCCUGGGAUAAUACUGACGCUCAGGCACGAAAGCGUGGGGAGCAAAC
rnacentral:rRNA from 1 species